rnacentral:rRNA from 1 species
CCCUUAGAUGUUCUGGGCCGCACGCGCGCUACACUGAUGCAUUCAACGAGUCUAAAACCUGCUCUGAUAGGGGUGGGUAAUCUUUUGAAUGUGCAUCGUGAUAGGGAUAGAUGAUUGCAAUUUUUCAUCUUCAACGAGGAAUGCCUAGUAAACGCAAGUCAUCAGCUUGCAUUGAUUACGUCCCUGCCCUUUGUACACACCGCCCGUCGCUCCUACCGAUUGAAUGAUCCGAUGAAUAUCAUGGAUUGAGGAUGCAAGCAGGUUCGCCUGUCUUCAUCUUCGAGAAGUGAAGUAAAUCUUAUCAUUUAGAGGAAGGAGAAGUCGUAACA